rnacentral:rRNA from 1 species
AUAUCCAAUAAGCGGAGGAAAAGAAACCAACCGGGAUUGCCUUAGUAACGGCGAGUGAAGCGGCAAAAGCUCAAAUUUGAAAUCUGGUACCUUCGGUGCCCGAGUUGUAAUUUGGAGAGGGCAACUUUGGGGCCGUUCCUUGUCUAUGUUCCUUGGAACAGGACGUCAUAGAGGGUGAGAAUCCCGUGUGGCGAGGAGUGCGGUUCUUUGUAAAGUGCCUUCGAAGAGUCGAGUUGUUUGGGAAUGCAGCUCUAAGUGGGUGGUAAAUUCCAUCUAAAGCUAAAUAUUGGCGAGAGACCGAUAGCGAACAAGUACAGUGAUGGAAAGAUGAAAAGAACUUUGAAAAGAGAGUGAAAAAGUACGUGAAAUUGUUGAAAGGGAAGGGCAUUUGAUCAGACAUGGUGUUUUGUGCCCUCUGCUCCUUGUGGGUAGGGGAAUCUCGCAUUUCACUGGGCCAGCAUCAGUUUUGGUGGCAGGAUAAAUCCAUAGGAAUGUAGCUUGCCUCGGUAAGUAUUAUAGCCUGUGGGAAUACUGCCAGCUGGGACUGAGGACUGCGACGUAAGUCAAGGAUGCUGGCAUAAUGGUUAUAUGCCGCCCGUC